GUCCAGGAACCUCCGUGGGCAUAACUGCAGUAUAUAAAUGAUGCUGACAACAAAACAGGAUUUUUCAGGUUACCGUGUCUUAUCGUGUUGAUCAGUUCCUGGGCUAGAGGAUUAGGACUCGGGAGUCACUGGCCGUAUGCUGGAGGCUGGAGCCACGGGAGCACAGCUCGCCUCGCUGUGGUUGGUAGCGACUGAGAUAGCAGCGCGCCUGAAGCAAUCUAUUUGAAGAAUUCAAAGAAUCUAUGGAAGAUGGCUCAGCUUGCUGUGAAGCAAAGAAACCAGGGACCUUCUCCAGAACCUCUGAAGUUGAUGUUAGGUCCAGCUAAUGUUUCUCCUCUAAAAAGAAAGUGGAAUUCUCUCUCAGUUAUACUAGUGCUCGAUUCCAGUAGCUACACUAAAGGAUGUGGAAAAAAAAGAGAUGAGUCUUUCUGAUUGAAUAGAAGUGUAUCAUUUCCACUAGAACAGCUUCAAAGCUUUCCCCAACUUUUACAGAACAUCCAUUGCUUAGAGCUGCCUUCUCAGAUGGGCUCAGUGCUAAACAACUCUCUGCUGCUUCACUACAUUAACUGUGUAACAGAUGAGCCAGUCUUGCUGAGGUCUUAUUAGUGGUUGAGUCAAACAUUACGAGAAGGCAGUAGGAAGGGAGCUGGAUGGAAGGCCACCAAGACUCACUGGGUGCCGCUCAGGAAACACUGCUGGAUGGAUGCCACCAAGACUCACUGGGUGCCUCUACUUUGACUAUCGCAAUCCAAGGAUUCUUCAUCUUUGUAUGUCCAGAAACUUGCUGGGCGGCCCCCAGAGUCAUCCUGUUAACGAUAAUGAAACUCAGAGGAGACUAAUAUAUAAGCCAGAUUGUCAGCUAAUCAUUAAAUUAAUUAUUUCUGUUCAGCAAAAUGCUCAUAUCUUCCAACUAGAAUAUCCCCUCUCUGCUAUCAGCAUAUAUGGGAACCAAAUUUGUCAUUAGAAAGUUUUUUAAUUAUAGAAUUAAAGGAAAGGGCAGUGAGAAGCCUUUCAACCAGGCCAUAGUACAGCCUAAGCAUUUCAUUCCUCCACUGGUUGGGGGUGGUGGGGAGAUGGUCUUUCUUUUGACCAAACUGAGUGUUUCAUUACUGGAUAAGCAACUCCUGAUUCUUCUUAGUGGUUAAAAGUUGCUUUUAGUUGGUUCCAGGCCAAUUCUCCUCCUUCUACUCUGAAUCUUUUAAACAGAGUAUCAUAGUUAGAUUUCUACUUACUAAAUUUCUACCAUUUUUACAUUAUACCCAGCCUACCCUAAUUGAAGUUUAGGGUAUUUUAAAACUUUCAAUUCAGAUGUUUAUACUUUCUUGGAGUACUGUGUGAUAUAAAGCUUACCUUAUUCAUUA